GAAUAAGCAUCGGCUAACUCCGUGCCAGCAGCCGCGGUAAUACGGAGGAUGCAAGCGUUAUCCGGAUUUAUUGGGUUUAAAGGGUGCGUAGGCGGGAUAUUAAGUCAGUGGUGAAAUCCUGCAGCUUAACUGUAGAACUGCCAUUGAUACUGAUAUUCUUGAGUAUAGUUGAAGUGGGCGGAAUGUGUAAUGUAGCGGUGAAAUGCUUAGAUAUUACACAGAACACCGAUUGCGUAGGCAGCUCGCUAAACUAAUACUGACGCUGAGGCACGAAAGCGUGGGGAGCGAACAGGAUUAGAUACCCUGGUAGUCCACGCUGUAAACUAUGAUCACCCGUUGUUGGCAAUACACAGUCAGCGACUGAGCGAAAGCAUUAAGUGAUCCACCUGGGGAGUACGGCCGCAAGGUUGAAACUCAAAGGAAUUGACGGGGGCCCGCACAAGCGGAGGAACAUGUGGUUUAAUUCGAUGAUACGCGAGGAACCUUACCUGGGCUUAAAUGCAGAACGACGUCCGCCGAAAGGCAGAUUCCCUUCGGGGCGGACUGCAAGGUGCUGCAUGGUUGUCGUCAGCUCGUGCCGUGAGGUGUCGGGUUAAGUCCCAUAACGAGCGCAACCCUUAUUGUUAGUUGCCAGCGGGUAAUGCCGGGGACUCUAACGAAACUGCCGGUGUAAACCGAGAGGAAGGUGGGGAUGACGUCAAAUCAGCACGGCCCUUACGUCCAGGGCUACACACGUGUUACAAUGGCCGGUACAAAGGGCAGCUACCUGGUAACAGGAUGCUAAUCUCGAAAGCCGGUCUCAGUUCGGAUUGAAGUCUGCAACUCGACCUCAUGAAAUUGGAUUCGCUAGUA
rnacentral:rRNA from 1 species